GAGAAGCUCUGCUUCAGCUGUGGGGCCACAGAAGGCAGGACUCAGGGAUGGACUCCAUGAUGGUCUGGUCCCCUCUCCUGCUCACCCUCCUGGCUCACUGCACAGGAUCCUGGGCUCAGUCUGUGCUGACUCAGCCACCCUCAGUGUCAGGGAACCCAGGACAGAGGGUCACCAUCCCCUGUGCUGGAAGUAGCUCCAACAUUGGGGGAUAUUAUGUACAAUGGUACCAACAGCUUCCAAGAAUGGCUCCCAAACUCCUCAUCUAUGGUAAUCGCAAUAGGUCUUCAGAGGUUCCUGAUCGAUUCUCUGGCUCCAAGUCUGGGACCUCAGCCUCCCUGACCAUCACAGGGCUCCAGGCUGAGGACGAGGCUGAUUACUACUGCUCAGCAUGGGACAAGAGUCUCAAUGGUCUCACAGUGCUGCAGGCCUGUGGGAAGUGAGACAAGAACCCCUGUGUCAUCUGGGAGCUGGGUGAACCCUGCAGCUGCUGUUGCUCAGGCUCGGCCUGUGCCCUGUGCCUUCUGC